rnacentral:rRNA from 1 species
UACGGAGGGUGCGAGCGUUGUCCGGAAUCACUGGGCGUAAAGGGCGCGUAGGCGGCGCGGGGAGUCAACGGUGAAAGCUCGGCGCUCAACGCCGAGUCGGCCGUCGAUACUCCCGUGCUUGAGCACUGUAGAGGCAGGUGGAAUUCCGGGUGUAGCGGUGGAAUGCGUAGAGAUCCGGAAGAACACCGGUGGCGAAGGCGGCCUGCUGGGCAGUAGCUGACGCUGAGGCGCGAGCAGCGUGGGGAGCAAACAGGAUUAGAAACCCGGAGGUAG